GCCAAACAGCUAGCUUAAUUACUAAUUUUAACUAACCAAUAUAAAUAAAAAAACAUGACUCAACAACAACAAUUAAAUCAUUUUUACACCUAAGUAUGGGAGACAGAAAAGGUACCCCCCAAAGCAAUAGAAAAAGUACCGCAAGGGAAAGCUGAAAGAGAAGUGAAAUAACCCAUAUAAGCACUAAAAAACAAAGAUUAAACCUUGUACCUUUUGCAUCAUGAUUUAGCCAGUACACCCAAGCAAAGAGAACUCUAGUUUGAAACCCCGAAACCAGGUGAGCUACCCCGAGACAGCCUAUGUAAACAGGGCUAACCCGUCUCUGUGGCAAAAGAGUGGGAAGAGCUCCGGGUAGAAGUGACAGACCUACCGAACCUGGUGAUAGCUGGUUGCCUGAGAAAUGGAUAGAAGUUCAGCCCCGUGCACCCCCAAACCAAAACGCCAGAUUUAAGGUGAAACUAAGGGAAAUACACGAGAGUUAGUUAAAGGGGGUACAGCCCCUUUAACAAAGGACACAACCUUAACAGAAGGAUAAAGAUCAUAAUAAUUAAGACAGGCUGUUUUAGUGGGCCUAAAAGCAGCCAUCUAAACAGAAAGCGUUAAAGCUCAAACAGCAAAAACUUUAUUAUACCGAUAAAAAAUCUUAUUCCCCUAGUACUAUCAGGCUAAUCCAUACCACUAUGGAAGAAAUUAUGCUAAAAUGAGUAACAAGAAGACUCGCUCUUCUCCGAGCACAAGUGCAAGCCAGAUCGGACAAACCGCUGGAAAAUAACGAACCCAACCAAAGAGGGCACUGUGAAAAACAUGAAAAGCAAGGAAACCCCACAGAAACUGAUCGUUAACCCCACACUGGAGUGCUAUUUUAAAGGAAAGACUAAAAGAAAGGGAAGGAACUCGGCAAACACAAGCCUCGCCUGUUUACCAAAAACAUCGCCUCCUGCAACUAAGUUAAGUAUAGGAGGUCCAGCCUGCCCAGUGACUAUAAGUUCAACGGCCGCGGUAUUUUGACCGUGCAAAGGUAGCGCAAUCACUUGUCUUUUAAAUGGAGACCUGUAUGAAUGGCCAAACGAGGGCUUAACUGUCUCCCCCUUCCAGUCAGUGAAAUUGAUCUACCCGUGCAGAAGCGGGUAUAAUUCUACAAGACGAGAAGACCCUUUGGAGCUUAAGGUAUAAAGACUAACCACGUUAAACAACUACAUGAAAAGGAAGAACCUAGUGGAAGAUAGAACUUUACCUUCGGUUGGGGCGACCACGGGGGAAAAACCAGCCUCCGAGUGGAAUGGGCUACAUCCCUAAAACCAAGAGAAACAUCUCUAAGGCACAGAACAUCUGACCAAACAUGAUCCGGCCUCAUGGCCGAUCAACGAACCAAGUUACCCUAGGGAUAACAGCGCAAUCCUCUCCCAGAGUCCAUAUCGACGAGGGGGUUUACGACCUCGAUGUUGGAUCAGGACAUCCUAAUGGUGCAGCCGCUAUUAAGGGUUCGUUUGUUCAACGAUUAAAGUCCUACGUGAUCUGAGUUCAGACCGGAGUAAUCCAGGUCAGUUUCUAUCUGUAAAGCUACUUUUCCUAGUACGAAAGGAUCGGAAAAGAGGGGCCCAUACUUAAAGCACGCCCCACCCCUAAUCAAUGAAAACAAAUAAAUUAAACAAAGGGAGGGCCAAACCCUGCCGCCCAAAAUAAGGGCAU
rnacentral:rRNA from 1 species